AUCUUUUUAGUACAAUGUUAGUAUGCAUGGCUUCCAACCAUAUGACCUUGGUUAAACCCCAAGAAAAGAUA
rnacentral:tRNA from 1 species